rnacentral:lncRNA from 1 species
GAAUGAUGAAACAUUUAUAGUUACUAAUCAUAUCAGAGAGCAUGUUGCACAGUUCACGAUUUGCCUGCCUAAAAUGCUCUUCUUAUUAUUUAGCAUGAAAAAAAAAAAAAAUAUAUAUAUAUAUAUAGAGAGAGAGAGAGAGAGAGAGAGAGAGAGAGAGAGAGAGAGAGAGAGAGUACAGAGAGAGAGAGAUCAGUCUGUAUAAUGUUUAGAGAAAUUAACAUUUGACACUAAAAUUCAGUGAGGAAUUAUAAAGAGUCAUUUACAUUAUGAUGUCAUGGGUUGGUGUAAAAGUAGUUUGUCUUGAUGAUUUUAUCAGCAUAGCAGUUGGGAUGGGGUGGGAUGUGAUUGUUGAGGGGGUGAUGACCUGAAGAUGACCCCCAUCCCGAGUGAGAAAGAUGGACCUCCAGUGGUGGCAACAUGCCGGUCCGGACAUCUAAAGCUGCCCUUUGACCCACAGCCUAAUUUAGGAGGUAUAAAUGACGGAGGGAUGAACAAAAGAGCAAUACUGAUCCACCUGGCACUGUCAGAGUCUUCAGUCCGAGAUCUGUUACAGCAAAUGGUCAGAGUGCUAAUUACAGCUGAUUGACUCAAUCGAACGAGUCCAUUAGAUGAAAAUGGAUCAGUGCUCAAUGCUCUGAUGCAGUUUUUAUUUGUCUUUAUUAAUGCUUUAAUUGCAAAGCUAAAUAAAUCAUGUAAAAUCUGAUAGUAAAUAAAUAAUAACAUCUCCUCAUGUGUUUGGUUUGAUUGAAUUCUGUGCUGCAUUGAUUUGUAAUUUUUUGUCUCAUUGAUUUAUGUUUAAACACACAGUAGCUCAAUGCAGCCUGAACAGAAUUGUGUGUUGCUAAACUAUCCUCGUCUUAGAUUCUUCUUCUAUCAGACAGGUAUAUUCUUAAUUAAAAAAUCAUCUUCUGCUUGUUUACUCGCAGACGUUUGAUGGGCCGAGACAUAUACGGAGGAAGCAUCUAAAAUACAUGCGUGAAAUUAAAAAUGAAACACAGCAGCUCCAAAUUAAGUCCCCUGUCUCAAAAAAAAAUGCAAAAUUCAGAUGAGAAAUAUCUGACAGUAUUGGAAACAGCCGACAGUGCAGGUGAAGAGGUGGUUAAUAUUUGACUUUCGUCCUGGGAAACAAAUUCAGCAAACAUUUGUUAUGUUUUGCAAGCAGUAGUCAUUAUCGUUUUCAAAGACAUACUGUUGCUUGUCAGUUGGUGUGUUGAAACCCUCUAAAAAAAUAAAGCAGCUGUAUAGUAACAUUAAUACGUUUGAGUGUUAACUUUCUGCAAGUUGUGGAAGAAAUGGACUCCCAGACUGCCUAAAUUUUGUAUUCGUGGAUCCAGGACUUUUUUAAAAAUAUAUAACACAUUUAACACAAGGUUAUGAGUUGUAAUCCUUUCACAUUAAGGUUUACAGGAAGCCAGUUUCAAUCAGCCGG